rnacentral:lncRNA from 1 species
AUGCGCCAAACCACCCUCACUGAACAAUGUAGGCCCCUCAUUAAGUGUGCCUGUGACAAGUUGACUAGCACAGUUGCCAAAUGGAUUGCAAAAAGCUGUAGACCGAUUAAUAUUGUUGAGGACGAGGGGUUCACCGAAGUUGUGCGAGUGGCAACGGGGGAUUCGAGUAUCAAAGCACCGCAAAGUCGCACACUAAUGACAAAAAUCCACGAGCUGUAUGAAGCUGAAAAGAAAAAAAAGGAAAAUGACUUGGCUGCUACGAAACAUCCGGCGCUGACAGGGGAUCACUGGACUUCUGGCAGUCUGGUUAUCUCUCCGGCUGCAGAUUGCGAGAGAAGAGGAGCUUCUGGGGCUUCAGAGGGAGGCGCUGUGAAGCUUAUAGAGUAGGAGUAGAGGACUGGAGAGAAGCUGGAAUCUGGCUACAAAAGAACAUAGGGACUAGCAGAGCCACGGUUAAUGUUUAUAACCAAAUGAAAAACAAAUCUAAAUGAACAAUUCAAUUCAGUUCUGUUACGGUUCAUUUUACAGAGCCCAUGCUAUAAUGUUACUUCAAUGUAACUACAAUGUAACACAGCAAUUAACAGUGUAGUACUUGAUACUUUUGUUCUUACACAAGAUUAACCCUAUUCGUAUCCCAUCUCUAAUAUAAAUAGAAUGAUCAGUUCUUUGUGACUAUAUUUUACUCAACACUAUACUAUACUGUAACAAGGGCUGUGUAAUGUAUAAAAUGACCAAAGGUUCUAAUCUGGUGGGAACCUGGUUCCAAAUGGAGGAACCCUUCUCGUACUCCUCUCAUGAGCUGUGUGUCUGUCAGAAGCUGCAUUGGAUACGGCUGCUAUCGGGCCCAAGGCUUUUUCACCCCUGCGGUUCUACCAUAAAUCACAGCAGAGAACCGGGAGAGUGUUAAAUUAUAUGGUAAAGUAGGUGUCGGGACGAUGCUACUCACCACUUGUGCUAAGGAACACCUGGUAUCACACCUGGUGCCGGCACCCAAGAAGGGCCGCCAGCACUAACCUCUCACACAAUAACGGCCGUCAACAAGGAGGGCCUGAGCUAGCCUUACAUCCUGAGAGCCUCUGGACCACAUGUUCCACAUAUUCCAUCAGCCUGUUGUUGUGAGCGCCAUCUUCUAUGCUGUGGUGUGCUGUGGCGAAGGCUGCUUUUAAACUGGGACUAACCCUUUAAACUGGGACUAACCCUUUAAAUGUACUACUCUAAUCACUUCACUCUUUGCGCACCACAAUAUUGUCUGGACGUUAUUCAUCUUCAGCGCUUCAUGCCUUUAUCUGUACCUUUUACCAUAUUUCUAAGCAGACUAUCAGUCACUAUACCCACUAAUCCAUUCAUUAGUCUCUCUGCUUGUUCAUCUUAGAUACUAUGUCCAUGU